rfam:Caenorhabditis elegans chromosome IV
CCAACGGCCCUCUUUAGGGCCACAAAUAUCCAAAAACCUGACAAU